GACGAACGCUGGCGGCGCGCCUAACACAUGCAAGUCGAACGGUGAAGCGGAGCUUGCUCCUCGGAACAGUGGCGGACGGGUGAGUAACACGUGAGCAACCUGGCGCUAAGAGGGGGACAACAGUUGGAAACGACUGCUAAUACCGCAUAACGUAACGGGAUGGCAUCUUCCUGAUACCAAAGAUUUUAUCGCUUAGAGAUGGGCUCGCGUCUGAUUAGAUAGUUGGUGGGGUAACGGCCCACCAAGUCGACGAUCAGUAGCCGGACUGAGAGGUUGAACGGCCACAUUGGGACUGAGACACGGCCCAGACUCCUACGGGAGGCAGCAGUGGGGGAUAUUGGACAAUGGGGGCAACCCUGAUCCAGCGACGCCGCGUGAGGGAAGAAGGUUUUCGGAUUGUAAACCUCUGUUGACGGAGAAAAAAAUGAUGGUAUCCGUUUAGAAAGCCACGGCUAACUACGUG
rnacentral:rRNA from 1 species